CCUACGGGAGGCAGCAGUGAGGAAUAUUGGUCAAUGGGCUUACGCCUGAACCAGCCAAGUCGCGUGAGGGAAGACUGCCCUAUGGGUUGUAAACCUCUUUUGUCAGGGAGCAAUUGGCGCUACGUGUAGCGUUAUCGAGAGUACCUGAAGAAAAAGCAUCGGCUAACUCCGUGCCAGCAGCCGCGGUAAUACGGAGGAUGCGAGCGUUAUCCGGAUUUAUUGGGUUUAAAGGGUGAGUAGGCGGAAUGCCAAGUCAGCGGUAAAAUCGCGGGGCUCAACCUCGCUCCGCCGUUGAAACUGGCGUGCUUGAGUGGGCGAGAAGUAGGCGGAAUGCGUGGUGUAGCGGUGAAAUGCAUAGAUAUCACGCAGAACUCCGAUUGCGAAGGCAGCAUACCGGCGCCCAACUGACGCUGAAGCACGAAAGCGUGGGUAUCGAACAGGAUUAGAUACCCUAGUAGUC
rnacentral:rRNA from 1 species